rnacentral:rRNA from 1 species
UACGAAGGGGGCUAGCGUUGCUCGGAAUCACUGGGCGUAAAGGGUGCGUAGGCGGGUUCGUAAGUCAGCGGUGAAAUCCGGCAGCUCAACUGUCGAUGUGCCAUUGAUACUGCAUGACCUGAGUACUGAUGAGGUAGGCGGAAUUGACGGUGUAGCGGUGAAAUGCUUAGAUAUCGUCAAGAACACCGAUAGCGAAGGCAGCUUACUAAAGAGUAACUGACGCUGAGGCACGAAAGUGUGGGGAUCAAACAGG